rnacentral:lncRNA from 1 species
GCCUAUGGGUCUCGGUCCUGGACAUUUCAAAUUUCCCUAGACAGCACUUUGGGUCGGAUAAACUUUAUCCAAUAAAGUGUGAGAGUGCUUACCCCACACCUUGGAUGUUGGCCCAGCUCUUCUACCUCAUUGAGGUCCGGGGCACCCCGGAGUCACCUUGUCUCCGGAGCGACUUUAUAUCUUCUAAGUCAUCUCGGUUUUGUUCCAGAUUGUACAUCCUCCUACUUUUUAACCGGAACCUUCAACUUCUCUGGCUGGGUGGAGACAUCAUGCCACAGGAAGAGUGA